GAGGGGAUAGCUCAGGGGUAGAGUGUGUGCUCAGCAUGCACAAGGUCCUGGGUUCAAUCCCCUGUACCUCCA
rnacentral:tRNA from 1 species